CUUACAACUCCAAGAGGUAGGUGUUAUAAUUAUCCCUAUUUUACAGAUAAAGAAAGUCAAUCAGAAAUUUUAACAUAAUGUGCCAAAAUCACACUGCUGAUCAUCCUGAUAAGCCAGGAUUCAGGACCAGAAAUUCUGGUGCAUGUGUGCACACACACGCACACGCACGCACACACACACACACACACACAAAAUAAGAGAUAAAAUGGCUAAGUUGGAAAUUGGUGUUGCCAACUUGGCUGGAACCCAGAUACCCUUCUAAUUGACUGUGUGCCUUGUGCAGGAUACCUAAUCUGUCUGAGUCUCAGUCUCUCCCUCUAUAGUGAUUAAAAAAAAAAAAAAAAAAAAAACUGUCUGACUUUUAUGAUUCCAGUAAGAAUUCAGAUGAUGUACAUACAACACAUAGUAAAUGCUCAAAUGAUUUUUUGCUAUGACAAUAAGAAGAAAAGUAUUAAUAAAAAUGAUAGCUAUUAUAUAAGUUACGUGUUUAAAGCAAUACCCAGCUCUUAGCUAGCUAUCAAGAUAUAUUACUUUCACUCCCUUUUCAAGGGACAUACUGAAUAUCACCAUAACAGAAAUAUUUCUAACCAGGAUUAUAGAAUAACCUGAAGAAAACAGACCAAGCAUCCCAAGGGGAGACAAAUAGAUGAGGAUGCAAGAAAGGAAUCACUUCCCCAGAGAGAAUUUUUCCACAGUGUGAUAUGGAAAUAAAGGAGCUAGCUAUUCAUGUUUAGCAGAUGCAAAAAAAUUUUCAGAAUGAUGCAAUAUUGGAGUCAAUACCUCUAAUCUCUCAAGGGGUUUGUAUUCUUUUUCAAACCGUUACAUUCUGUUCAAUUACUUUCUUUUCUUUCCAGGGUUGAGAACAUCUAUUAAGAUUUCACAGGGUUUGGAAUGCCAAUGCUGCAGACGGAAACCAAGCCAAGAUAACUGUCAAACCCCAAAUGUAACCAGAAGAGGGGGCAACAAACAGAAGCCAUAUAAAGAUUCCUGCUGCUUACCUGACCUUGACAACCUUCUCCAUGGACCUCUAUGUCCUCUGGACUCUUCUUGUCGUCUGCCUCAAAUACAGAGCGACUAUUCUACAUCUGUAGUUUAUCUAUGGAUGAUGGAGAACAAACUGUUAUUGCUAACAAUUCCACAGAGAUGGCUUAAUUUCAACUUAAACAGCAACCUUCUGUUAAGUAUUAAAAAGGUGUUCAGGACAACAGUGACAAAAGUGAGACUGGUAUAAAGAUAAUAAGCAUCAUGAAUAAUAAUCACACUCAAAUCCUUGUCAUCUUCAAGACAUUGGAGAAAUGGAUAUGGAGAAGAGCUAACAAAAUAUCAAGAAAAGCAGAACUAGUUGAUAAUGUAAGUGAAUCAAAUGAACAGUCAACAACAAAAGUCGUGUCUAAUGCCCCGCCGGCUUUACAUAAACAAAAGAAAAUUAUUAUGUUGAAAAAUUGGGUCCAGAGGUAAUGUGCAUUGUUACUGGAUAUACUAUUAAAUUCAUGAAAAAUGAAAUCCUUCUCAAACACACACAGAAAAAUUGAUAAAUGAAUAUUUGUGAAGAAGAAAAGCAUUAAAUCAAUGAAGGGAACUGAUAUUCAAUUUCCAAAUUUUUUUCCUAAACAAUGCAAAUUAAACAAGAAAAAGUUUAAAGUAGAAUAAGGAAAGAAGACUUGGCACCAACUCUUAAGCUUUUCUCAAAGCCUUGCUGCUCUGAGAACCAGCCUCAUAGCUCUACAUCGUUUUAAAUACUUAUUUUUAAAAAUUACAAAGCACAAUGUCUUAAAUUUCCAGUUAAAUAUAAACUGAAUG
rnacentral:lncRNA from 1 species